rnacentral:tRNA from 1 species
UCUAAUAUGGCAGAAUAAUGCAGUAAAUUUAAGAUUUACAUAUAAAGUUUAAACUUUUUUUAGAA